rnacentral:rRNA from 1 species
AGUGAACGCUGGCGGUAGGCCUAACACAUGCAAGUCGAACGGCAGCACAGUAAGAGCUUGCUCUUACGGGUGGCGAGUGGCGGACGGGUGAGGAAUACAUCGGAAUCUACUUUUUCGUGGGGGAUAACGUAGGGAAACUUACGCUAAUACCGCAUACGACCUACGGGUGAAAGCAGGGGAUCUUCGGACCUUGCGCGAUUGAAUGAGCCGAUGUCGGAUUAGCUAGUUGGCGGGGUAAAGGCCCACCAAGGCGACGAUCCGUAGCUGGUCUGAGAGGAUGAUCAGCCACACCGGAACUGAGACACGGUCCAGACUCCUACGGGAGGCAGCAGUGGGGAAUAUUGGACAAUGGGCGCAAGCCUGAUCCAGCCAUACCGCGUGGGUGAAGAAGGCCUUCGGGUUGUAAAGCCCUUUUGUUGGGAAAGAAAAGCAGCAGGUUAAUACCCCGCUGUUCUGACGGUACCCAAAGAAUAAGCACCGGCUAACCUCGUG